CGGUGGAUGCCCUGGCAGUCAGAGGCGAUGAAGGGCGUGCUAAUCUGCGAUAAGCGCCGGUAAGGUGAUAUGAACCGUUAUAACCGGCGAUACCCGAAUGGGGAAACCCAGUGUGACUCGUCACACUAUCAUUAACUGAAUCCAUAGGUUAAUGAGGCGAACCGGGGGAACUGAAACAUCUAAGUACCCCGAGGAAAAGAAAUCAACCGAGAUUCCCCCAGUAGCGGCGAGCGAACGGGGAGGAGCCCAGAGCCUGAAUCAGCAUGUGUGUUAGUGGAAGCGUCUGGAAAGGCGCGCGAUACAGGGUGACAGCCCCGUACACAAAAGCGCAUGUGCUGUGAGCUCGAUGAGUAGGGCGGGACACGUGGUAUCCUGUCUGAAUAUGGGGGGACCAUCCUCCAAGGCUAAAUACUCCUGACUGACCGAUAGUGAACCAGUACCGUGAGGGAAAGGCGAAAAGAACCCCGGCGAGGGGAGUGAAAAAGAACCUGAAACCGU
rnacentral:rRNA from 2 species